rnacentral:rRNA from 1 species
CAGUGGGAGCCUCUUAAUGGGGUGACUGCGUACCUUUUGUAUAAUGGGUCAGCGACUUAUAUUCUGUAGCAAGGUUAACCGAAUAGGGGAGCCGAAGGGAAACCGAGUCUUAACUGGGCGUUAAGUUGCAGGGUAUAGACCCGAAACCCGGUGAUCUAGCCAUGGGCAGGUUGAAGGUUGGGUAACACUAACUGGAGGACCGAACCGACUAAUGUUGAAAAAUUAGCGGAUGACUUGUGGCUGGGGGUGAAAGGCCAAUCAAACCGGGAGAUAGCUGGUUCUCCCCGAAAGCUAUUUAGGUAGCGCCUCGUGAAUUCAUCUCCGGGGGUAGAGCACUGUUUCGGCAAGGGGGUCAUCCCGACUUACCAACCCGAUGCAAACUGCGAAUACCGGAGAAUGUUAUCACGGGAGACACACGGCGGGUGCUAACGUCCGUCGUGAAGAGGGAAACAACCCAGACCGCCAGCUAAGGUCCCAAAGUCAUGGUUAAGUGGGAAACGAUGUGGGAAGGCCCAGACAGCCAGGAUGUUGGCUUAGAAGCAGCCAUCAUUUAAAGAAAGCGUAAUAGCUCACUGGUCGAGUCGGCCUGCGCGGAAGAUGUAACGGGGCUAAACCAUGCACCGAAGCUGCGGCAGCGACACUAUGUGUUGUUGGGUAGGGGAGCGUUCUGUAAGCCUGUGAAGGUGGCCUGUGAGGGUUGCUGGAGGUAUCAGAAGUGCGAAUGCUGACAUAAGUAACGAUAAAGCGGGUGAAAAGCCCGCUCGCCGGAAGACCAAGGGUUCCUGUCCAACGUUAAUCGGGGCAGGGUGAGUCGACCCCUAAGGCGAGGCCGAAAGGCGUAGUCGAUGGGAAACAGGUUAAUAUUCCUGUACUUGGUGUUACUGCGAAGGGGGGACGGAGAAGGCUAUGUUGGCCGGGCGACGGUUGUCCCGGUUUAAGCGUGUAGGCUGGUUUUCCAGGCAAAUCCGGAAAACCAAGGCUGAGGCGUGAUGACGAGGCACUACGGUGCUGAAGUGACAAAUGCCCUGCUUCCAGGAAAAGCCUCUAAGCAUCAGGUAACAUCAAAUCGUACCCCAAACCGACACAGGUGGUCAGGUAGAGAAUACCAAGGCGCUUGAGAGAACUCGGGUGAAGGAACUAGGCAAAAUGGUGCCGUAACUUCGGGAGAAGGCACGCUGAUAUGUAGGUGAAGCGACUUGCUCGUGGAGCUGAAAUCAGUCGAAGAUACCAGCUGGCUGCAACUGUUUAUUAAAAACACAGCACUGUGCAAACACGAAAGUGGACGUAUACGGUGUGACGCCUGCCCGGUGCCGGAAGGUUAAUUGAUGGGGUUAGCGGUAACGCGAAGCUCUUGAUCGAAGCCCCGGUAAACGGCGGCCGUAACUAUAACGGUCCUAAGGUAGCGAAAUUCCUUGUCGGGUAAGUUCCGACCUGCACGAAUGGCGUAAUGAUGGCCAGGCUGUCUCCACCCGAGACUCAGUGAAAUUGAACUCGCUGUGAAGAUGCAGUGUACCCGCGGCAAGACGGAAAGACCCCGUGAACCUUUACUAUAGCUUGACACUGAACAUUGAGCCUUGAUGUGUAGGAUAGGUGGGAGGCUUUGAAGUGUGGACGCCAGUCUGCAUGGAGCCGACCUUGAAAUACCACCCUUUAAUGUUUGAUGUUCUAACGUUGGCCCCUAAUCGGGGUUGCGGACAGUGUCUGGUGGGUAGUUUGACUGGGGCGGUCUCCUCCUAAAGAGUAACGGAGGAGCACGAAGGUUGGCUAAUCCUGGUCGGACAUCAGGAGGUUAGUGCAAUGGCAUAAGCCAGCUUGACUGCGAGCGUGACGGCGCGAGCAGGUGCGAAAGCAGGUCAUAGUGAUCCGGUGGUUCUGAAUGGAAGGGCCAUCGCUCAACGGAUAAAAGGUACUCCGGGGAUAACAGGCUGAUACCGCCCAAGAGUUCAUAUCGACGGCGGUGUUUGGCACCUCGAUGUCGGCUCAUCACAUCCUGGGGCUGAAGUAGGUCCCAAGGGUAUGGCUGUUCGCCAUUUAAAGUGGUACGCGAGCUGGGUUUAGAACGUCGUGAGACAGUUCGGUCCCUAUCUGCCGUGGGCGCUGGAGAACUGAGGGGGGCUGCUCCUAGU